UACAGAGGGUGCGAGCGUUUAAUCGGAAUUACUGGGCGUAAAGCGUGCGCAGGCGGUUUUGUAAGCCAGAUGUGAAAGCCCCGGGCUUAACCUGGGAAUGGCAUUUGGGACUGCAAGGCUGGAGUGUGGCAGAGGAGACUGGAAUUCCUGGUGUAGCAGUGAAAUGCGUAGAUAUCAGGAGGAAUACCGAGUGCGAAGGCAGGUCUCUGGGCUGACACUGACGCUCAUGCACGAAAGCGUGGGAGCAACAGG
rnacentral:rRNA from 1 species